ACCAAACACACAUAUGGAGAACUUGAUCAGCACAGUCUUCGCUGAGGAAUUUAUAUCUCAUCAGAAGGCACUGGAGUUGGAAAAGACUUCUGGUGAACUUGCUGAGAUUCUCUUCAUUCGUUACUUAAAGGAUCAACACAGUGUCCACACAAGUCGAACUACUGUGCUUCGUGCACUUCCUGUGCUGCUGAGAGGAGUCGCCUCAAGAUUCUUCAAAACAUGUGGGGGCUGAAGAUUCAGAAGAGCCAAAUGUUGGAUAUUCACCAGUUGCCCUGUUAACAGCAGUCAGAGAACUCACAGAUGCCGCAAUUCAUUACAAUCUGGUCAGAAAUUUCAUUGUUCUUGAAAGUGAAGUCAUCACCCACCUGCCCAGGCUUUUCAGAUUUCUUUUUACGUUUGGACUGAUUUAUGCAUUGGAUCUGAGUUACCCAAAAGAGUUUUAAAGACAGGUGGCUUUAUAAUGUUUUAACUUUGAA